GACCGUAAGCAGCUCCCUCCACGGCCUCUGCAUCAGCUCCUGCCUCCAGGUUCCUGCCUUGCUUGAGCUCCUGUCCUCAGUGCUUUUGAUGAUGAGCUGCUCUAUGGAACUGCGAGUGAAAUGAACCCUUUUCUCCCCUGAUGCCACAGGAGCCCAGGAUCCCCAGCCUGUCCUCAUGCCCAUCCUGCCUCCCUCAAGGAUUCCUGCGUGACUUCCCUGGCAGAGGCCAGACCUGAACGGCAGGGUUCACUGGAGAAGCAACUGGCAAUGCCAGGAGAGCUCUCUCCUAAUGCACACACUGGUCUCCAUGGACAGGUCAGCCUCUGAGCUUGGGGCACACAAAGGAUUUGUGAGUAGACAUCGAGACAAACCGUGUCUAGUGAAGACGGCUCCUCAGCCUCUGCAUGUGUCUGUGACCUGGGUCAGAUACCAACCGUGAUACCACAAACAGGAGUAGUGUUUCCUACAGGUGCUCAGCCAGGAAGUGGCUAAGGAAUCCUCCACAGAAGGUGGACAAACAACAUAUCACCUGGAUAAAAACCAGCCAAUGCUAAUCGAGUGCUAUCCAUGGACCAGGCACCCUGUGCAUCUUCAGAGGAACCUAGGGGAGUGCUGCCAGCAACCCCAUUCCACAUGUGGGCCUGACCUACAGAGACAGCCAGCUUGCCUGCUUUGUCCUGUUAGUGAAAGAUAGGGUUUGUAUUUAUUAAAAAAAUGAUACUAGCUAUUUACUUUUUAAUUUAGUAUACAAAAAUGUGUUUUUAUGAGCAUACUUCUAUCGCUCUCUUGUCCUGGGUCCCUCACUCUGACUCCCCCUCCUGCCUCCCUAGUCUCCCUUCUGCUUUCACAUAGCACAUAUAAAUUAGCACAUGUAUCUGUAUUUAGCUCCCGCUGUGCGUCUGAGAGAAACAUUCGGUGUCUUCCUCUGGGUCUGGCUUAUUUUUGCUUGACACGAUGGCUGUAAACGACGUGGCUUCGCUCUUCUUCGUGGCUGUGUGGCUCCCCUCUGUGCAGGCCGAGCUUCAUUCGUGUAUUUGCUGCAGAUGCUGGGCUUUGAACCGGGUGUCUUCUCUCCUGUGACGUCAGGCUCGGUUUUGCAUCCUCACGUCCCGGUCAGCUCUGACAAAUAGAACUGGUGUCUGGAUGCUCUUUGCUUCAGCUUUCCUUCCCUCUCCCAUCUCCCUGUGAUCCCAAAGCCCAGAACAGUCCGCCAGUGUGUUACUUAUACACCUCAUGCACCGGUGGGCUCUUCGUUAACUCAGGGAGGGCCCUUCGCACAGGCCGAGGUUCAAUAAUUCUCUUUAAAGUUACAGAGAAAUAUAUGCUUAAUUAUAUUUGCAUAUGAAAAAUAGGCUCUAAUUAGUUUGAUUGAUUAUUAUUUUAACCCUAAUGGCAUUUUGAGUAUCUGUCCCAACUAAUAGCGACUGUAUCAGCCAUAAAUCAUUGGCUUUUUAUGGCAUGGUCUAUUGAGCUGGCUUAUGAAAUACAUUUUAUUAAUAUCCUGCAAUGUAUUGAAACUGAUACAAGUCAAACAACUGCUCAUUUAUAAAGCUGUUUAAAUGUCAGUCUCACACAAGAGUAAUAACACAGGAAACACGGACCUUGGAAUCUUUUGGCAGACCACAGGCUCUCAAAUAUCAGUUCUCUUGGAAAAUAUAUUCUGGAGAUAAAAGUCCAA